UACAGGAGGGAUCUUGCGAGACUGAUAGCACGAUGAGAAAUAAGGGGGAUAAUUCAUAACUCCUGGGGGGAGUGUUUGUUUGUUUGUUUGUUUGUUUGUUUGUUUGUUUGUUUGUUUGUUUGUUUCAGGGAUCACGUGGGCCUCUGGAUCAUAGGAGUAGAUGCCGAGAACGCUCGGAGGUUCUACUGAGCACUUCGAUGAGACGACCACCACCAAUCGUCCCCGUGCCCCAAUCAACCCCAAAAGAGAAGAUUUUGUUUGCUGACGACUGGUUAUGGAGAUGUAGUUUACUAGGGAACCCCUGGACGCUGACCGGGGCCUGGAAAGGGACUCUGAGAACGGUGAAGUGGACAUAAAGAUUUUGGAUGGACGGCAGGCCCUGGGCAGUGAUCCCGGCGCAAUUCACUACUGAGCAUUCAGUGGACUGGACUUUGCAUCGACAGGCACUUACAUAUGCAAGGGGGCAACACUGAGGGCGCUUCAACGUUGCGGUAUGCUGUGAUAUUGCGUCAAUAUUAUAUCCUUCAUUACUUUAUCAGAUGACUACAUGCCGCAUUACUUUAUCUCAUUCGUCUAUCAGGUCACAUAUUAACAUUAUGACAAUGCAGUUUGACUGUUUAGCGGUCGAUGGACAUGUCAUUUCUUUUCCUUACUGUUUUGUGAGCUCAUACUGUUUUGUGGAUUGUGAUAUGUGCCAGGACUCCUUGUACCUGGCUGACGCCAGGUGGAGGGAAUCACUGAGGAUGUUAGAAAGGGCCUCCUUCUUUUUCCAUGUCAUUAGACUGGCAGGGUUUUUUCUCGAGGGAGGGCCGGCAACUUUUUGAGGUUUCUAACGGACCACGCCAAAUUCAUUACUUCACAAAUUAUCGACGGUAUUGAGGUAUUACCUAAGGGGGGUGGUUAUCGUCAUUUGGUUAAUGUGGACUUCAAUUUUCUUUACUUGUGGUUCCUGAGAGGCCUCAGAUUGCUGUCAGGGAGCAAUUGGAUAUCAAAGUAGUUUGAGCUUUCCUAGUUAAAAUAACCUUAAGUAGCAUGCCUCGAGCGUGAUAUAGGCUGUGCAGGUAUAGGCCAAAUUGUAGACGUGACCA